rnacentral:rRNA from 2 species
GACGAACGCUGGCGGCGUGCCUAAUACAUGCAAGUCGAACGAACUCUGGUAUUGAUUGGUGCUUGCAUCAUGAUUUACAUUUGAGUGAGUGGCGAACUGGUGAGUAACACGUGGGAAACCUGCCCAGAAGCGGGGGAUAACACCUGGAAACAGAUGCUAAUACCGCAUAACAACUUGGACCGCAUGGUCCGAGUUUGAAAGAUGGCUUCGGCUAUCACUUUUGGAUGGUCCCGCGGCGUAUUAGCUAGAUGGUGGGGUAACGGCUCACCAUGGCAAUGAUACGUAGCCGACCUGAGAGGGUAAUCGGCCACAUUGGGACUGAGACACGGCCCAAACUCCUACGGGAGGCAGCAGUAGGGAAUCUUCCACAAUGGACGAAAGUCUGAUGGAGCAACGCCGCGUGAGUGAAGAAGGGUUUCGGCUCGUAAAACUCUGUUGUUAAAGAAGAACAUAUCUGAGAGUAACUGUUCAGGUAUUGACGGUAUUUAACCAGAAAGCCACGGCUAACUACGUGCCAGCAGCCGCGGUAAUACGUAGGUGGCAAGCGUUGUCCGGAUUUAUUGGGCGUAAAGCGAGCGCAGGCGGUUUUUUAAGUCUGAUGUGAAAGCCUUCGGCUCAACCGAAGAAGUGCAUCGGAAACUGGGAAACUUGAGUGCAGAAGAGGACAGUGGAACUCCAUGUGUAGCGGUGAAAUGCGUAGAUAUAUGGAAGAACACCAGUGGCGAAGGCGGCUGUCUGGUCUGUAACUGACGCUGAGGCUCGAAAGUAUGGGUAGCAAACAGGAUUAGAUACCCUGGUAGUCCAUACCGUAAACGAUGAAUGCUAAGUGUUGGAGGGUUUCCGCCCUUCAGUGCUGCAGCUAACGCAUUAAGCAUUCCGCCUGGGGAGUACGGCCGCAAGGCUGAAACUCAAAGGAAUUGACGGGGGCCCGCACAAGCGGUGGAGCAUGUGGUUUAAUUCGAAGCUACGCGAAGAACCUUACCAGGUCUUGACAUACUAUGCAAAUCUAAGAGAUUAGACGUUCCCUUCGGGGACAUGGAUACAGGUGGUGCAUGGUUGUCGUCAGCUCGUGUCGUGAGAUGCUGGGUUAAGUCCCGCAACGAGCGCAACCCUUAUUAUCAGUUGCCAGCAUUAAGUUGGGCACUCUGGUGAGACUGCCGGUGACAAACCGGAGGAAGGUGGGGAUGACGUCAAAUCAUCAUGCCCCUUAUGACCUGGGCUACACACGUGCUACAAUGGAUGGUACAACGAGUUGCGAACUCGCGAGAGUAAGCUAAUCUCUUAAAGCCAUUCUCAGUUCGGAUUGUAGGCUGCAACUCGCCUACAUGAAGUCGGAAUCGCUAGUAAUCGCGGAUCAGCAUGCCGCGGUGAAUACGUUCCCGGGCCUUGUACACACCGCCCGUCACACCAUGAGAGUUUGUAACACCCAAAGUCGGUGGGGUAACCUUUUAGGAACCAGCCGCCUAAGGUGGGACAGAUGAUUAGGGUG